rnacentral:rRNA from 1 species
UACGUAGGGGGCAAGCGUUGUUCGGAAUUACUGGGCGUAAAGGGCGCGUAGGCGGCACGGCAAGUCAGGAGUGAAAGCCCGGGGCUCAACCGUGGAAGUGCACUCGAAACUGCAAGGCUAGAGUCCUGGAGAGGAAGGUGGAAUGCUUGGUGUAGAGGUGAAAUUCGUAGAUAUCAAGCGGAACACCGGUGGCGAAGGCGGCCUUCUGGACAGUGACUGACGCUGAGACGCGAAAGCGUGGGGAGCAAACAGG